rnacentral:rRNA from 1 species
AUUGAACGCUGGCGGCAGGCCUAACACAUGCACGUCGAACGAGUGGCGGACGGGUGAGUAAUGUCUGGGAAACUGCCUGAUGGAGGGGGAUAACUACUGGAAACGGUAGCUAAUACCGCAUACCAUCGGAUGUGCCCAGAUGGGAGUAGCUUGUUGGUGGGGUAACGGCUCACCAAGGCGACAAUCCCUAGCUGGUAUGAGAGGAUGACCAGCAACACGGGAACUGAGACACGGUCCAGACUCCUACGGGAGGCAGCAGUGGGGAAGAUUGGACAAUGGGCGAAAGCCUGAUCCAGCCAUGCCGCGUGUGUGAAGAAGGUCGUCGGAUUGUAAAGCACUUUAAGUUGGGAGGCGUUACCAACAGAAUAAGCACCGGCUAACUUCGUGCCAGCAGCCGCGGUAAUUC